GUUAGGGUGGCAGAGCCCGGACAUUGCAGGAGUCCUAAGCUCUCCCCACAGAGGUUCAAAUCCUCUCCCUAACU
rnacentral:tRNA from 1 species